UUGAUAAACUUUUUAUUGCUUCCAAACAAUUUAAAAUCGAGAGCGAGUGGUUGGUUGGUAGCUGCCUGAAUUACAAUAAUGCUCCGCUUGGGUUCGGUUUGUUGAUGGCUUCGGCCGAUUGGCAAGACAAACGGCUGCAGCUGCUUGCGAUGAACUGGAGUGAGGCUAUGACAGCAUUCGAAUUCGAAUUGUGCCUGAUUGCACGGUUCCUGACACAUAUCGCAAUGCAAUGGAGCAUGAAAUAAAUGAGAGGCCGCCGGUUGGAUGCGACUCGAGAAGUAGUCCUUCCGGCGGUUUCCUCCAACCAAAACAAGAUGCCCCACCAAGCCAAGGCACCACCCUCGAUGUCACUGAUGGUCUUUGGACAUUUUACGCCUUUUACACAGUUGACUGCAUAAAUUCAUGGCCGGGAUAUGGUUACGCAUUUUAAACAACACUCCUCGGCUAAAUCCGGAAUCGAGUCAAGUGGUUCCUGCGGAUGGGUUGCGGUGGCACGAAAUGGACCUUUGUUUCUUCGAAAUAAGAAGGAACUUGGCAAACAUCAACACAGCUUGGCAGCAAACGGCGUGGACUACAAAUAGCUGCAGCAGCUUAAAGCUGAUUUAACAAAGUUGGCUCUAUCUUCUGUCGCACUUGUUGCCCCGCUGCUCGGGACUCGGAACAAGUUUUCUUUUGGCCCCCGAGCAUUGCUCAUUAUUGCGAAAUGUUCGGGGCUAAGCUUUAGUUUCAAGUUUGAUUUGUUUACACAUGAGUUUUUGGCGAGACCGACGGGAGAUUGUUUUGCUGCCAGCUAACAAGUUGCAAAUUAAGCUAAAAUGUGUAUUUUGGCAAAAGUGCAGGGGGCUUGGUGGGUGGUGGUUCUGGGCUUCUGGGCGUUGGGUGCUUAGUGCUUGGCAAGGACUUUGGUAUACAAAUACAUGCAUGUAAACGAGCAUAAAAACCGCACAGUCAAACGCACUAACAAGCAGCAGUAAUCAGUGUGGCAGCAACAAAAGUGAAAAGCCAACAACACACUUGCUGCAUGCAGCACAUGCUGCAGGAGGAAAUUACAUGCACAGAAGUUGAAACAAUGGCUGCAAGUCUGGCCCAGCCCAGGCUCGCUGCUCAUCACCGAGCUAGCCAUCGCCAGCGCCAUCAUCAUCAGCAUCCCCGUCGUCCUCAUCAUCCCCCCCAUCAUUAUCAUCAUCAUCAGCAGGAAAAGCAAAAGCGGCAGCAUCAGUUGCUGCGGGCAGGACACCACCUCCCCCAAAAGGCUAUUGACCCAAUUUCUGGGCAAACAAUGGACCAGCAGAAAAGAAAUCACAAAAGCGUAGCCAAAUCUCGGGACCAAGCCAAAAACCACUUGACAAUCCUGGCUAGAUCUGCUGGUGCUGCACAGAGAAAAAAAUGGAAGAUUUAUCUUGCUUUAAUCCGGCAAUCCGAAAGUUGAUGGUCAUUUAAGCCUCAGCUGAGUAAAGUAUUAGAGUUUUUAAGGGAGAAACAUGGGAGAAAUAUGGUUGAAAUAAUUUCAGUUUCACGAGACCUUGAAGUUAAAUAUAUGAGGUACAUUAUUUUUAG